rnacentral:rRNA from 1 species
UACAGAGGCCUCGAGCGUUGUUCGGAAUUACUGGGCGUAAAGAGAACGUAGGUGGUGACGUAAGUCAGAUGUGAAAGCCCUGGGCUUAACCUGGGAAGUGCAUUUGAUACUGCGUUGCUAGAGUACGAGAGAGGAAAGCGGAAUUCCCAGUGUAGGAGUGAAAUCCGUAGAUAUUGGGAGGAAUACCGAUGGCGAAGGCAGCUUUCUGGUUCGUAACUGACACUGAGGUUCGAAAGCGUGGGUAGCAAACAGG